CAGUCGUAUCGACGAGAAAUCAACCUUUCGAGUGCGAACCUGUGGGCGUGCGUGAGUCUUUAACGGGCCUCGCUGUUUGCAAUGUUUCGUGUCUUUUGGGGUGUACUUUUUCGUAUGGUAGGCCAACGUCAGUUUCGAUCACCGUAAAAUGAUCGGAGGAAUGUAGCUUCGAUCUCGUAUUGAAGUGUUAUAGCCUCUGGUAAUGCGGUGACCGAAACUGGA
rnacentral:rRNA from 1 species